rnacentral:rRNA from 1 species
CGCAUGAAGUCGGAAUUGCUAGUAAUCGCAGAUCAGCAUGCUGUGGUGAAUACGUUCCCGGGCCUUGUACACACCGCCCGUCACACCAUGGGAGUCAGUAACACCCAAAGUUGGUAGUCUAACCGCAAGGAGGACGCCGCCUAAGGUGGGAUUGAUGACUGGGGUGAAGUCGUAACAAGGUAAC